UACGUAGGGACCAAGCGUUGUUCGGAAUUACUGGGCGUAAAGAGUGUGUAGGCGGUGUUCUAAGUCUGUUGUGAAAUCUCCCGGCUCAACUGGGAGGGUGCGCCGAAUACUGAAUGACUUGGAGUGCGGGAGAGGAGAGUGGAAUUCCUGGUGUAGCGGUGAAAUGCGUAGAUAUCAGGAGGAACACCGGUGGUGUAGACGGCUCUCUGGACCGUAACUGACGCUGAGACACGAAAGCGUGGGUAGCAAACAGG
rnacentral:rRNA from 1 species